GACAGCAGUAGCCGCGGUAAUACGGAGGGGGCUAGCGUUGUUCGGAAUUACUGGGCGUAAAGCGCACGUAGGCGGCUUGGUAAGUUAGAGGUGAAAGCCCGGAGCUCAACUCCGGAAUUGCCUUUAAGACUGCCGAGCUAGCAGGUGAGAGAGGUAAGUGGAAUUCCGAGUGUAGAGGUGAAAUUCGUAGAUAUUCGGAAGAACACCAGUGGCGAAGGCGGCUUACUGGCUCAUACUUGACGCUGAGGUGCGAAAGCGUGGGGAGCAAACAGGAUUAGAGACCCCAGUAGUCCCUGUCUCUUAUAC
rnacentral:rRNA from 1 species